GUCCUCUGUAUCAAGAGGUCCGCGAGUGUGUCUGUGUGUUGGGGUGUCCGCCACCUGAUGACUCUGUUUCCGUGUGUCUGUGUGUGUCUGCCUGGAUGUCAUUUUGUCAACGGGCACCUCUGUGCCGGCGUGUGUGCCUGCUGUCAGCUUGAUUUCGGGGGUCUGUGUGUCCAUGCAUUCCCGCAAAUGCUGGAGUUGUCUGUGGGGUUGAAAUCUGUGCACAAACUGAGCACCCCUGUCCCUCAGUCCUUUCUCAGUCUCCCACCAUUUCUGUGUUGAAGGCCUCCGGCUUCAUGCGGUGAAUGUGUGUGUGUGUGUGUGUGUGUGUGUGUGUGUGUGUGUGUGUCUAUCAGCCCCCAGCCCCAGUGCCUCCAGCUCUGAGAUCUGCCCUCCCACCCUCUCUCCCUGGACUGAGGUGGGAGCUGAAGGAAAGAGGGCAGUCAGGACCCAGGCACGGAGCCCACCACAGCCGGGAGCCGAGGCCAGGCUGCCACCAGGGCACUGCCUCAGCUUUCCUCCGAGCAAGCGACUAGUGUCUACUCCUCGUCGAUCUAGCCACGUGCAGCUUCCAUCCCUGGCUCUUUCCUCCUUUGGGAACUCCCUGGUUCUUCUGCCUCGUACCCUGGUCUCGGCCUCCAGGAAACCCUCGCCAGGUCUUACCACCCCUGCCAGUCCCACCCCACUGCAGCCUGAUGCCUGGGUCCUCACUGUGCAGGAGG